GACGAAGGUGGCAACCGUUGCUCGGAAUCACUGGGCAUAAAGCGCACGUAGGUGGCUAAGUAAGUCGGUGGUGAAAUACCUUGGCUCAACCAAGGAAGUGCCAUCGAUACUGCCAUGCUUGAGGACGGGAGGGGUGAGUGGAACUCUUGGUGUAGCGGUGAAAUGCGUAGAUAUCAAGAGGAACGCCGGUGGCGAAAGCGACUCACUGGACCGCUCCUGACACUGAGGUGCGAGAGCUAGGGGAGCAAACAGG
rnacentral:rRNA from 1 species